GCGGUAGUAGAUCAGUGGUAGAGCCCCCGCUUCGCGUGCGGGGAGACCCGGGUUCGAUUCCCGGCGGCCACC
rnacentral:tRNA from 1 species